rnacentral:lncRNA from 1 species
UUUUAUUGUUAGAUAAGGACAAAAAAAAUACUAAAAAAAAAAGGCAUCAGUGACUUUCUCACCGGUGCCCUAACACUCUGAAGGUACAUAGACACAGGAAUGUUCCAGCCGGUUUGUUGCUAAUCGAAAACGAGUGGUUUUUGGGUUAACCACCUUGAGGCAGGGUUACCUGGCCGAGCAGCCCUGUGUCCCUGUGCGCGGAGGGGAGCGCAGCCGCGUCCCGCGGGCGCCCUGUGCCCUCUGCCGGCGGCACCUCCGGGAGAAGGCAGGCGGGAGAGGAAACAGAGAGGGGAAAAAACACAAGUAAGAAAAAGAGCGAUUUGUCAACGUACUAUUUUCCAUGCGCCCCGCAUGCCACCUCUGGUGUUGCCUGAAUUCCCGCUGCCCCCUCUCGUCUGACCUCCAGCCCCUGUAACGCAGUGGGAACUCAGCUCUCUGCUCAGGAACCUCUUCUGCCUCUGCUGCACAAUUUCACUGGAAUGCCUCGGACGUUUUUCAGGCAGCGAUAUCCCUUUCUUUCCCCCCAUACCCAAUAUGUAACACAGCCUGCCUCGGGUACGUUUUCACAGAUUUUCUAUCAGGUCCUCAGGUGCAAAAUCCACAUGGACUCCUUUGUCUCCUGCACUCCUGGUCUUCACAAGAAGAGGUCCCAACUCUUUCUGUUUCCCUAAAGAUCUUUCUAAAGAUAUGUGCUGAUUUAUUGGAAUCAUCCUUUCGCUGUGACGUGCAGGAUCAGUAAUGAGCUACACUGAAACAUGAAGCUGGAUAUUAAACAUAGCACUUCCCAAAAAAAUAUGCAAUUCCUGUGAUGAUAUAAACCCAAGCUUUAUUUCUUACUACUUGUAUAGAUUGAAACAAAUGUCAUUUUAUUUUUAGAGGUGUACUGCUCUACUGCAGCUCUUCUGAAGUAAUGUUGGAGGUUUACUACAGCAAGUCAUGGUUGCUGAAGAUGGGCACCUUUACAUUUAAGAACGUGAUGUUCUGUUUUUGCACACUUAGAGUAACUUUUUAAACCUUUAGAAUUGUUUAGUAGUAUGUGCCUUUGUAACUGGGUUCUGUGGGUGGUACCUGUUGGAAAUAAAUUGCCUGAAGAGUUUUAUUAAGAGAAAACA